CCCUUAGAUGUCCGGGGCCGCACGCGCGCUACAAUGGAUGAAUCAACGCGUCAUCCCGGCCCGAAAGGGUUGGGGAACCGCUGAACCUCAUCCGUGGUUGGGAUUGGGGUUUGUAAUUAUUCCCCAUGAACUAGGAAUUCCCAGUAAGCGCGAGUCAUAAGCUCGCGUUGAUUACGUCCCUGCCCUUUGUACACACCGCCCGUCGCUCCUACCGAUUGAGUGGUCCGGUGAGGCUUUGGGAUCUGAGCGGAAAGAGCGUUUCGCUGUUUCUGCUCGGAAAACUCAGUCGAACCUUAUCAUUUAGAGGAAGGAGAAGUCGUAACA
rnacentral:rRNA from 1 species